CUAGUUUCUCCUGAGGGCAGGCCUUGUUGAGAAUGCAGUGCUCUGGCGUGUUUCAAAUGGUUCUUUUUCCUCCUCCCUCUGCCAGAAGCACAGGAGAUUUUUCUCUGAUAUUUACUUUGAGAACCUGGUUGAGCUUCUGGAUAUGACUCUCACAAAAUUGUGGGGGCUUCCCUAUGACUGGGGUCCCCCUAGAGUUUUUAACUCUCCAAGUUGUUUACGCUGAACUUCCAGCAAUUAAUGAAUUACAAUUCGGGAUUUCCUUCUCUGGCACUGAUUCCUGUUGCAGUUUCCACUUAUGAAUCUCUGAUCUGGCUGUGUUGAGAAACAGAAUGUGGAAGCACAGCAAGAUUUUCAGUCACUAAAAAUGGCUCGUGAUGUCCAACGCAAGUUAUCCAAUAAAGAACAGAAGUGGAGCCUGAAGGUUUUCAGCUCAAAGGCUUUUUGAAGCCAUGUUUACUACCAUUUCAUCUAGAAAGUCAGAAAAAAACUGGUUUUCUGAAUAAAAGAAGGCAUGAAUUGAUCACAGUUGGAAACUGGUAAAACAGAAGAUUUCUGAAGACUUGUCUUCACUUGUUCUUGAGGCCUAGCAACAUUCCUGUUUGAUUUCGUGAAGGUUUCCAGGAUCCUUACAAUGCUUUCUGUUUGUGCCUAACUGGUUUCAGUUAUGAUUUUGGCAAACACAUCCAAAGAGGAGCACAGAUAUAUUGUAGGCCAUCAAAUUUGUGUGGGUUAGGCAGUUUAAAUGUGUAGGAAACACAUGUGAUCAGGUUAUUUCACUUAAUGGGGAGUUAUUUUGAGAGACCAGAGAAUAAGGGAGAUAAGAACAUUCUAAGCAGUACGGAGCCAGGCAUGAAGUGUUGCCCUAUUCACCCCACAUUCAGCUUAUGAUUCAGAGGAGAGCUUUGGUGAUCUAUCCAUAGUAUGAGUUUUGAGUUCAGAUCCACUGCUUCUGCUUCUCUAGAAGUGUCUUCUAUUUAUCAAGCAACAUCCAAUAACAUGGAAUUAAAAACUAGCAAUAUAUUUAUAGAACUCCAAUGUCUUCUGGCUAUAAUGCAAAACUAGGCAGAGCAUAGCAUUGUGUUCCCUCAGAAAGAAACUACUUAUAAAGGGCUAUAGGUAUGCCAGGCAUUUUGAGUCUCACUAGAAUGUGAUGUGGAAGUUGGGGUGUGGAACUACAAUGUGGGAGUUGGGGUAGAGAUGGUAUAAGUAGUAGAAUCUUAGAAGACCUAUCUAAUACUUCUUUUUGGGGCUCUUCUUUUUCAACUGCCCCUUAAAAUGCUAAAGUACUCUUGGGUUCUAUCCUUGGUCUGCUCAAUUUAUCCACCUUAGCUUGAUGGUCCCAAGCAAUUACAUAGUUUAUACUACCGUCUCUGGCAAUUCUGAAAUACGUAUCUUCAGAUCAGACUUUGCAGAGCUGUUGAACUAUAUAUAAAACAUCUUACUGAAUUUCUAUGCCUGGAUAUUUCAGCAUCUCAAAUUCAGCAUGUUUCAUCUCGGACAAAUUAUUUUUCAAACAAAACUCUUCCUCCUCUUGUGUCCUCACUAUUCACAUAAUCGCCACAGCCUAAAACCUGAGAAACAUCACAGAAGUCUUCUUUUCAUUUGGGAUUAAUCACUAGGUCCUAUCAGUUGAAUGUUUCUAGCUUUCCAGUCUCUUCACACCACUGCUACUAUCAUAAGAGGACCCUAGGUCAUCUCUCAUUUACAUUUUUGAGAGCCAAUGAAUAUAGUUCUUAAGAAUAUGGGUCUGGGGCUAGAAAAUUGGGUUCCAUUUCCAACUAUGCUACUUACCUACUCCAUAACUUCCAUGUCUCUGUGCCUUAGUUUUAUAGUUUUUGUAAAGUAGAAAAAAUAACCAUAGUACCUAUCUCACGGGUUUACUCUGAGGAGAUGUGAAGACAUAGAAAGUGCUUAGGACAUUGCCCGACAGUUGGGGCAACGCUUCAUUAAUUUUGAUUUUGACUUUACAUUCCUCUUCCAGAUUCCAUCUCCCAUCUUUCCAAUUCUUCUUCUACAUUGCUAGUCUAAUUAUCAAUCCAAAACCCAAAGCUGACCUUCUCAAAAACCCUUAAUUGAUCUUUACUACAUACAUAAUAAUAUCCUAAACCCAUUGUGUGGCACACAAAGUCCUUCAUGGUUUGGCCCAGGGCUGCUAAUCCAGCUUCUUCUGUCAAGAACUGACAUUUUGGAAUAAUGAUGUAACAAGGUUUUCCCGUACAUAUCUUGCUGCAUCUUACCUGGUGCUUUUCUUUGCCUGUGUUCCACUUCCUUCUCAUGUCUCUCUGUUGAAUUUCCUCUUAAUCUCUCUAAUAACUUAUAUUGACUUACUCACUAUUCCUUCAUCUAUACUUUGUUCAUUUCAUCCUUUGAUUUUGUGAUGUCUCUUUUCUGAAUGCCUGUCUAAAAAGACCCAUAUUUCAGACUUCCUGGAUUAAUUGACUUUUGAGUUAGACCUUGAAUUAUGGUUCUAUAUUAAGACAGAGAUCCGUAGCUGGGCAGUUUUUUUUUUUUUUUUUCAUUUUUCUGUAAUCAGUGGGAAGUUAUUGAGGGAUUUGGAGCAGCAAAGAAUUAUACUGAAAUGAUAUUUUAGGAAAGUGUAUCCAUGAGGGAAAAAGUGGGAUAGAUCAGAGCACAGAUCCCCAGACUUUCUCAGUUGA
rnacentral:lncRNA from 1 species